rnacentral:rRNA from 1 species
GAUUAAGUUAUUAAGGGCGCACGGUGGAUGCCUUGGCACUAGAAGCCGAUGAAGGACGUUACUAACGACGAUAUGCUUUGGGGAGCUGUAAGUAAGCUUUGAUCCAGAGAUUUCCGAAUGGGGAAACCCAGCAUGAGUUAUGUCAUGUUAUCGAUAUGUGAAUACAUAGCAUAUCAGAAGGCACACCCGGAGAACUGAAACAUCUUAGUACCCGGAGGAAGAGAAAGAAAAUUCGAUUCCCUUAGUAGCGGCGAGCGAAACGGGAAGAGCCCAAACCAACAAGCUUGCUUGUUGGGGUUGUAGGACACUCUAUACGGAGUUACAAAGGACGACAUUAGACGAAUCAUCUGGAAAGAUGAAUCAAAGAAGGUAAUAAUCCUGUAGUCGAAAAUGUUGUCUCUCUUGAGUGGAUCCUGAGUACGACGGAGCACGUGAAAUUCCGUCGGAAUCUGGGAGGACCAUCUCCUAAGGCUAAAUACUCUCUAGUGACCGAUAGUGAACCAGUACCGUGAGGGAAAGGUGAAAAGCACCCCGGAAGGGGAGUGAAAUAGAACCUGAAACCGUGUGCUUACAAGUAGUCAGAGCCCGUUAAUGGGUGAUGGCGUGCCUUUUGUAGAAUGAACCGGCGAGUUACGAUUUGAUGCAAGGUUAAGCAGUAAAUGUGGAGCCGUAGCGAAAGCGAGUCUGAAUAGGGCGUUUAGUAUUUGGUCGUAGACCCGAAACCAGGUGAUCUACCCUUGGUCAGGUUGAAGUUCAGGUAACACUGAAUGGAGGACCGAACCGACUUACGUUGAAAAGUGAGCGGAUGAACUGAGGGUAGCGGAGAAAUUCCAAUCGAACCUGGAGAUAGCUGGUUCUCUCCGAAAUAGCUUUAGGGCUAGCCUCAAGUGAUGAUUAUUGGAGGUAGAGCACUGUUUGGACGAGGGGCCCCUCUCGGGUUACCGAAUUCAGACAAACUCCGAAUGCCAAUUAAUUUAACUUGGGAGUCAGAACAUGGGUGAUAAGGUCCGUGUUCGAAAGGGAAACAGCCCAGACCACCAGCUAAGGUCCCAAAAUAUAUGUUAAGUGGAAAAGGAUGUGGCGUUGCCCAGACAACUAGGAUGUUGGCUUAGAAGCAGCCAUCAUUUAAAGAGUGCGUAAUAGCUCACUAGUCGAGUGACACUGCGCCGAAAAUGUACCGGGGCUAAACAUAUUACCGAAGCUGUGGAUUGUCCUUUGGACAAUGGUAGGAGAGCGUUCUAAGGGCGUUGAAGCAUGAUCGUAAGGACAUGUGGAGCGCUUAGAAGUGAGAAUGCCGGUGUGAGUAGCGAAAGACGGGUGAGAAUCCCGUCCACCGAUUGACUAAGGUUUCCAGAGGAAGGCUCGUCCGCUCUGGGUUAGUCGGGUCCUAAGCUGAGGCCGACAGGCGUAGGCGAUGGAUAACAGGUUGAUAUUCCUGUA